AUCAGAGGCCUCGAAAAGGCCUUCGAAUCGCGCUCUGACUCACCCACUUGAGCCGAUUCGUGUCCGCACCGCCCACAAGGCAGUUUGACGAGGUUGCGACUGGAACGAAGUUGUCCCGAGGGACGGAAGCGUAAACGGUAACCCGGCAAGGCUUUUUGGUGACGCACAACGGCAUCCACGAGCCAGACUGUCAACCUGACUGAGUCAUGUCCCGGUACCUGCUC
rnacentral:ncRNA from 1 species